AUCCAGCUGACGAAUCCCAAAUAGGACGAAAUGCACAUCCUGGAU
rnacentral:hammerhead_ribozyme from 1 species